AGCGGUAAGGCCCUUCGGGGUACACGAGCGGCGAACGGGUGAGUAACACGUGGGUGAUCUGCCUCGUACUCUGGGAUAAGCCUGGGAAACUGGGUCUAAUACCGGAUAUGACCACGAAUCGCAUGGUUUGUGGUGGAAAGAUUUAUCGGUGCGAGAUGGGCCCGCGGCCUAUCAGCUUGUUGGUGGGGUAAUGGCCUACCAAGGCGACGACGGGUAGCCGGCCUGAGAGGGCGACCGGCCACACUGGGACUGAGACACGGCCCAGACUCCUACGGGAGGCAGCAGUGGGGAAUAUUGCACAAUGGGCGGAAGCCUGAUGCAGCGACGCCGCGUGAGGGAUGACGGCCUUCGGGUUGUAAACCUCUUUCGACAGGGACGAAGCGCAAGUGACGGUACCUGUAGAAGAAGCACCGGCCAACUACGUGCCAGCAGCCGCGGUAAUACGUAGGGUGCGAGCGUUGUCCGGAAUUACUGGGCGUAAAGAGCUUGUAGGCGGUUCGUCGCGUCGAUCGUGAAAACUUGCAGCUCAACUGCGAGCUUGCGGUCGAUACGGGCGGACUAGAGUACUGCAGGGGAGACUGGAAUUCCUGGUGUAGCGGUGAAAUGCGCAGAUAUCAGGAGGAACACCGGUGGCGAAGGCGGGUCUCUGGGCAGUAACUGACGCUGAGAAGCGAAAGCGUGGGUAGCGAACAGGAUUAGAUACCCUGGUAGUCCACGCCGUAAACGGUGGGCGCUAGGUGUGGGUUUCCUUCCACGGGAUCCGUGCCGUAGCUAACGCAUUAAGCGCCCCGCCUGGGGAGUACGGCCGCAAGGCUAAAACUCAAAGGAAUUGACGGGGGCCCGCACAAGCGGCGGAGCAUGUGGAUUAAUUCGAUGCAACGCGAAGAACCUUACCUGGGUUUGACAUACACCAGAAAGCUGCAGAGAUGUAGCCCCCCUUGUGGUUGGUGUACAGGUGGUGCAUGGCUGUCGUCAGCUCGUGUCGUGAGAUGUUGGGUUAAGUCCCGCAACGAGCGCAACCCUUGUCCUGUGUUGCCAGCGCGUUAUGGCGGGGACUCGCAGGAGACUGCCGGGGUCAACUCGGAGGAAGGUGGGGACGACGUCAAGUCAUCAUGCCCCUUAUGUCCAGGGCUUCACACAUGCUACAAUGGCCGGUACAGAGGGCUGCGAUACCGUGAGGUGGAGCGAAUCCCUUAAAGCCGGUCUCAGUUCGGAUCGGGGUCUGCAACUCGACCCCGUGAAGUUGGAGUCGCUAGUAAUCGCAGAUCAGCAACGCUGCGGUGAAUACGUUCCCGGGCCUUGUACACACCGCCCGUCACGUCAUGAAAGUCGGUAACACCCGAAGCCGGUGGCCUAA
rnacentral:rRNA from 1 species